AUUGAACGCUGGCGGCAUGCCUUACACAUGCAAGUCGAACGGCAGCACGGGUGCUUGCCCCUGGUGGCGAGUGGCGAACGGGUGAGUAAUACAUCGGAACAUGUCCUGUAGUGGGGGAUAGCCCGGCGAAAGCCGGAUUAAUACCGCAUACGAUCUACGGAUGAAAGCGGGGGACCUUCGGGCCUCGCGCUAUCGGGUUGGCCGAUGGCUGAUUAGCUAGUUGGUGGGGUAAAGGCCUACCAAGGCGACGAUCAGUAGCUGGUCUGAGAGGACGACCAGCCACACUGGGACUGAGACACGGCCCAGACUCCUACGGGAGGCAGCAGUGGGGAAUGUUGGACAAUGGGCGAAAGCCUGAUCCAGCAAUGCCGCGUGUGUGAAGAAGGCCUUCGGGUUGUAAAGCACUUUUGUCCGGAAAGAAAUCCUUGGCCCUAAUACGGUCGGGGGAUGACGGUACCGGAAGAAUAAGCACCGGCUAACUACGUG
rnacentral:rRNA from 1 species